UACGACUACAUAUCAGGCAUAUCAAUAAGCGGAGGAAAAGAAACUAACUAGGAUUCCCUCAGUAACGGCGAGUGAAGCGGGAAGAGCUCAAAUUUGAAAUCUUCAAGGUUCUACCUUGACGAAUUGUAGUUUAAAGAAGUGUUUUCUGUUGGAGUUUUGGUAAAAGUUCUUUGGAAUAGGACAUCAUAGAGGGUGAGAAUCCCGUAUUUGACCAUUAUUUCCAACUUUGUGAUACACUUUCAAAGAGUCGGAUUGUUUGGGAAUGCAGUCCAAAAUGGGUGGUAAAUUUCAUCUAAAGCUAAAUACUGGCGAGAGACCGAUAGCGAACAAGUACCGUGAGGGAAAGAUGAAAAGAACUUUGAAAAGAGAGUUAAACAGUACGUGAAAUUGUCAAAAGGGAAGCGUUUGACACCAGUGUUGUUUUCCCGAAAAUCAAUUAAAAAUGGCAGGAUUUUGUGUUGUAUUGACUUUAUCAGCUUUCUAGCACUUUUUUCUUGUCUUUUUUAAUGCACUUUUCGUUUAACAAGUCAACAUCAAUUUCUUUUGUUGUAAAAGAGUCAUUGGAAGGUGGCUUUCCUUUCGGAGAAAGUGUUUAUAGCCUUUGGACUUCUACAAUCGGAGAGAUUGAGGUCUGCAGCGUAGAUCCUUCGGGGUUAGAUACAUUUGUGCUAAGUUAUAGCUUUUCAUAGACAACAUGUUGACUAUGAUUAAGUCAUGUAGCUUACUCGCUUAUGCUAUUUUACCUACGCUUAGGAUGUUGACGCGCGUGUGUGCGUG
rnacentral:rRNA from 1 species